rnacentral:rRNA from 1 species
AGGGCGCACGGUGGAUGCCUUGGCAUUAAGAGCCGAAGAAGGACGUGACUAACGACGAUAUUCUAGGGGGAGCAGUAAGUACGCAUUGAUCCCUAGGUCUCCGAAUGGGGAAACCCACUAUGUUAUGCAUAGUAUCCGUAAGUGAAUACAUAGCUUACGCGAAGGUAACGCAGAGAACUGAAAACAUCUAAGUACCAGCAGGAAGAGAAAGUAAAAACGAUUUCCUAAGUAGCGGCGAGCGAACGGGAAACAGGCCAAACCAAGAAGCUUGCUUCUUGGGGUUGUAGGACUGCAACGUGGACUUAAAGUCUAUAGAAGAAUUACCUGGGAAGGUAAGCCAAAGAGAGUAAUAGCCUCGUAUUUGAAAUAGACUUUAUACCUAGCAGUAUCCUGAGUAGGGCUGGACACGCGAAAUCCAGUUUGAAUCCGGGAGGACCAUCUCCCAAGCCUAAAUACUCCUUAAUGACCGAUAGUGAACCAGUACCGUGAGGGAAAGGUGAAAAGAACCCCGGGAGGGGAGUGAAAUAGCACCUGAAACCGUGUGCCUACAAGAAGUUCGAGCCCGUCAAUGGGUGAGAGCGUGCCUUUUGUAGAAUGAACCGGCGAGUUACGUUAUGAUGCGAGGUUAAGCUGAAGAGGCGGAGCCGUAGCGAAAGCGAGUCUGAAUAGGGCGCUUUAGUAUCAUGAUGUAGACCCGAAACCUAGUGACCUAUCCAUGAGCAGGUUGAAGGUGCGGUAAGACGCACUGGAGGACCGAACCAGGACACGUUGAAAAGUGUUUGGAUGACUUGUGGAUAGCGGAGAAAUUCCAAACGAACUGGGAGAUAGCUGGUUCUCUCCGAAAUAGCUUUAGGGCUAGCGUCGCAAUUUAAGUGUAUUGGAGGUAGAGCACUGUUUGGAUGAGGGGCCCAUCUCGGGUUACCAAUUUCAGAUAAACUCCGAAUGCUAAUACACAUGUGCGGCAGUCAGACUGCGAGUGCUAAGAUCCGUAGUCGAAAGGGAAACAGCCCAGACCACCAGCUAAGGUCCCAAAAUAUAUGUUAAGUGGAAAAGGAUGUGGGGUUGCACAGACAACUAGGAUGUUAGCUCAGAAGCAGCUAUCAUUCAAAGAGUGCGUAAUAGCUCACUAGUCGAGUGACCCUGCGCCGAAAAUGUACCGGGGCUAAACAUAUUACCGAAGCUGUGGAUUUAAUAUUAAUUAAAUGGUAGGAGAGCGUUGUAAUCAGCGAUGAAGGUAUACCGUGAGGGGUGCUGGAGCGAUUACAAGUGAGAAUGCCGGUAUGAGUAGCGCAAGAUAAGUGAGAAUCUUAUCCACCGUAAGACUAAGGUUUCCAGGGGAAGGCUCGUCCGCCCUGGGUUAGUCGGGACCUAAGGCGAGGCCGAAAGGCGUAGUCGAUGGACAACAGGUUGAUAUUCCUGUACUAGUAUUGUUAGUGAUGGAGGGACGCAGUAGGCUAAAGGGAGCCAGUUAAUGGAUUCUGGUCUAAGCAGUGAGGUGUGGAAUGUGUCAAAUGCAUUUUCCUUUAACAUUGAGCUGUGAUGGGGAAGCAACUACGGUUGCGAAGCCCUUGAUGUCACACUGCCAAGAAAAUCUUCUAGCGUUUAAUUCAAUACUACCCGUACCGCAAACCGACACAGGUAGUCGAGGCGAGUAGCCUCAGGUGAUCGAGAGAACUCUCGUUAAGGAACUCGGCAAAAUGACCCCGUAACUUCGGGAGAAGGGGUGCUGUAGAAAUACAGCCGCAGUGAAAAGAUCCAAGCAACUGUUUAUCAAAAACACAGCUCUCUGCUAAACCGCAAGGUGAUGUAUAGGGGGUGACGCCUGCCCGGUGCUGGAAGGUUAAGAGGAGGGGUUAGACAUUAGUCGAAGCUCUGAAUUGAAGCCCCAGUAAACGGCGGCCGUAACUAUAACGGUCCUAAGGUAGCGAAAUUCCUUGUCGGGUAAGUUCCGACCCGCACGAAAGGCGUAAUGAUUUGGAUACUGUCUCAACGAGAGACUCGGUGAAAUUUUAGUACCUGUGAAGAUGCAGGUUACCCGCGACAGGACGGAAAGACCCCAUGGAGCUUUACUGCAGAUUGAUAUUGAGUACCUGUGAAGCAUGUACAGGAUAGGUAGGAGACUUUGACCUUGGGACGCUAGUUUCAAGUGAGUCGCUGUUGGGAUACUACCCUUGCUUCAUGGUUGCUCUAACCCACACGCAUAAUCGGCGUGGGAGACAGUGUCUGUCGGGCAGUUUGACUGGGGCGGUCGCCUCCUAAAGAGUAACGGAGGCGCCCAAAGGUUCCCUCAACAUGGUUGGAAAUCAUGUGUAGAGUGUAAAGGUAUAAGGGAGCUUGACUGCGAGAGCUACAACUCGAGCAGGUAGGAAACUAGGGCUUAGUGAUCCGGUGGUACCGCAUGGAAGGGCCAUCGCUCAACGGAUAAAAGCUACCCUGGGGAUAACAGGCUUAUCUCCCCCAAGAGUUCACAUCGACGGGGAGGUUUGGCACCUCGAUGUCGGCUCGUCGCAUCCUGGGGCUGUAGUCGGUCCCAAGGGUUGGGCUGUUCGCCCAUUAAAGCGGCACGCGAGCUGGGUUCAGAACGUCGUGAGACAGUUCGGUCCCUAUCCGUCGCGGGCGUAGGAAAUUUGAGAGGAUCUGCCCUUAGUACGAGAGGACCGGGGUGGACUUACCGCUGGUGUACCAGUUGUUCCGCCAGGAGCACCGCUGGGUAGCUAUGUAGGGAAGGGAUAAGCGCUGAAAGCAUCUAAGUGCGAAGCCCACCUCAAGAUGAGAUUUCCCAUUCU